AAAAAAUUUAAGGAGAAUUGUUUUCUAUUUUUGAAACACUUUUUGGAACUAAUUCGUCAGCUAAUUUUUUUAUUGAUACUUAAAAUAAUGAAUCACCUAAUGCAAAAAAUCUUGGAGCUGUAUUUUCUUUUGUCUUUCUGGAUAGUUCUCCUAGACUUUCUUAUUUGCAUUCACCGACGGAAAAUCGUCACUACGUAUUCUGACAAAUUACACAUUAAG